UGAGUAAUGUCUGGGAAACUGCCUGAUGGAGGGGGAUAACUACUGGAAACGGUAGCUAAUACCGCAUAACGUCGCAAGACCAAAGAGGGGGACCUUCGGGCCUCUUGCCAUCAGAUGUGCCCAGAUGGGAUUAGCUAGUAGGUGGGGUAAUGGCUCACCUAGGCGACGAUCCCUAGCUGGUCUGAGAGGAUGACCAGCCACACUGGAACUGAGGCACGGUCCAGACUCCUACGGGAGGCAGCAGUGGGGAAUAUUGCACAAUGGGCGCAAGCCUGAUGCAGCCAUGCCGCGUGUGUGAAGAAGGCCUUCGGGUUGUAAAGCACUUUCAGCGAGGAGGAAGGUGGUGAGCUUAAUACGCUCAUCAAUUGACGUUACUCGCAGAAGAAGCACCGGCUAACUCCGUGCCAGCAGCCGCGGUAAUACGGAGGGUGCAAGCGUUAAUCGGAAUUACUGGGCGUAAAGCGCACGCAGGCGGUUUGUUAAGUCAGAUGUGAAAUCCCCGGG
rnacentral:rRNA from 1 species